rnacentral:rRNA from 1 species
CCCUUAGAUGUCCUGGGCCGCACGCGCGCUACACUGACGGAGCCAGCGAGCGUGUCCUUCGCCGAAAGGUGCGGGUAAUCUUGGCAGCCUCCGUCGUGCUGGGGAUAGAUGGUUGCAAUUAUUGAUCUUGAACGAGGAAUUCCUAGUAAGCGCGAGUCACCAGCUCGCGUUGAUUACGUCCCUGCCCUUUGUACACACCGCCCGUCGCUACUACCGAGUGGAUGGCUUAAUGAGAGCUCUGGAUCUCUGCCGGCGCGGUCCUCACGGGUCGCGUUGGAUGGGGAGAAGUUGCUCAAAUUGAGUCUUCUAGAGGAAGUAAAAGUCGUAACA